rnacentral:lncRNA from 1 species
GGCAGAUCUGUGGAAUCUGGAAUCAGUAACCCUGCUUGAAACCAACACUGCUCCCAAAGCCAGAGAAGGCUUCUGCCUUAGUUGUCGUUACGUGACAAAAUUCACAACCUAACCCAGACCUAAGCACAGAAAGCUUUUAUUACCACAGAGGAAAUCAGGAAAUGCUGGAGGCAGCCUCGUUAGCUGUGUGAUCAGGGAGGGGACAGCAGGCGGGAACCCGUCAUCAAUCAUGUCUGGGCAGUCUCCCAACCAACAGGUCUACUUCCAGUGGAGGUGAGAAUGGGGGUGGACGAAAAGAGAAAUCCCUAAUCACCAGAGGUACAGGCUCCUUCCCACUUCUUAGCAGCUUUUCUCACUCUGAGGCCUCCCAUCUUAGAGUAAAGCCCAGGUAAAGAACUUAAAGGUGCAUGGCCUUGGCUGGGUGCAGUGGCUCACACCUGUAAUCCCAGCACUUUGGGAGGCUGAGGCAGGAGGAUCAUGUGAGCCUAGGAGUUUGAGACCAGCCUGGGCAACAUAGGGAGACCCUGUAUCUACAAAAAUUUAAAAAUUAGCUAGGUGUGGUGGCACACACCUGUUGUCACAGCUAUGCAGAGGCUGAGUUAGGAGGAUUGCUUGAGCCCAAGGAGUUCAGGGCUGCAGUGAGCCAUGAUCAUACCAUUGCACUCCAGCCUGGGUAACAGAGCAAAAAAAACGCAUGGCCUUUACAUUUUACAGGCCUCCCUAAUAACUCAUGGUGAGAACUUUUAGUCUCAGGCUUAAGAACUAGCCCAAGGAAGCUCACUAUGUCCAGAGAAAGGCCAACCCAUCUUUGGAUAAAACAGUAAAUUGAGAAAGCUCCCAGAACCUGGGAUGGCUGUUCUCCAGGCAGGCCUCCCAAACCUAAACCUGGGACACACACGUUCUGUGCUGCUGCUUGUGUCAGGAAAUCACUGGCAUAAACCCUGGGUGCCUGCACAAGGCAGCGGCACAGCCUCGGGCACAUGGGCGUAGAGGGAGGGGCUCACAACAAGCAAGAGAAAGACAGGGCAGCCUCAGGGUGACCUGAGUUAGCAACACCAACCAGGAACGCUGGCAGUUUGUUCUGGGGUUGGAAAAAGAGGACAGGAAGGGGGAAAAAAAAAACCAUCAAAAGCAGCCCAAGAAAAUGUUGGUACUGGGAAAUCCUUGGCUCUUGUGAUAUGGAGUGAGUGAAGUGAGAAUGAGUAUCAAGAGCCACUCACAUCAGACUCCUGAGGAGGGGCAGCUCCAUGGUGGAGAAGCCUACUCUGGAUGGUCCACUGAGCCCAGGGCCAUUACAUGGAUGGAGGGAUCACUGCAAGCCCAUCUCCAGUGCCAGAAAAACAAUUUAAAGUACAAACUGGAAAUUUUACUUGGCAUCUAUCAUGUAAGCCACUGGGAUGUAAAGAAUAAAAGUAGCUUCUAUGCACAAUGCUCAGUCUAGUGGGGAGGCAGACCCAAAAGACGGAGGUGUGCCCAGAGGUGCUUUCUGACCUUGCAGUGGCACGAAGAGGCUACAUGCCACAGUGCUCCGGGGGAUGGGAAUAGGUCCAGGGUGGUGGCAUGUCACCGUGCUCCAGAGAUGGCAGCUUCCUCAGGCAGCAAUGGCUUGGCUUUAGGCUGGUCUGCACUAAAGGAGGUUUCCCUCUAGUGCAGAAAGACCAUUCCAAGCUAAGACUGCAAAUAUUCAAACUGCCGACGAGAGGAAGAAUUCUCUUUCCCAGGCCCUCGUUUUGCCUAACUGGCUAAAGGGCCUGUGUGCCACAAGCCACCUUUGAACUUUUAGCUUGGUUGAUUCUAUGGUGUGGCAGUCAUGAAGAUGUAUUUCUCCAAAUGCAGGGGACAGAGUGGCUGCACUCUAAAAUCCAUCAGCACAUUCAUGCAGAGGCCACCCUUCCCACCUGCUGCUUCCAGCCAAUGCCUGAGCAUGGGAGGGACUCGUCUGAGGGGCAGCACUGGCUCCCCAAUGGCUUUGCUGAAACUUUCUCAGCACCACACUCCAGUGGAAAACUUCCCCGCUCCCCCGGCCUUUCCUCCUCCACAGGGGUCUGCCAACUCUGCC